rnacentral:lncRNA from 1 species
AUUUAUUUCAAACGUUUUCUUUUUGUUCUCUUUCCUCUAUCAUCACCUUCCUUUUACCAUGUCUAUCUCUUCCCUCAUCUCUGCAAAUCAAAGCUUUUUCUUCUUUUCUAAGUUUAUCAACCACAGCCGUGUCCACCGUUUUUCGCCAGAUCUGACCUGUAUCCCGUGUCAGAAUCUGUGUCGGAUCGUGUCGACACGGGUACGGCACCCCAAACAGCCGAGUCCGGGUAACGAAGGUUGCGUUUAAAGUGAGUAUAUUGUCCUGCAAUGAAAGGUAUAUCAUGUUAUGUAUGCAUAUAAAGCAAUAUAAUAAUGCCAUGAGUCAAUUAAGUAUGUAUAUUAAAUGUGUACAAUAUGUGACAUUAAUGCAGGGGAAAUUUAUUUUCAAGCAUAGAAGGGUCCUGUUUGAGUCGUUUUAAUGAAUUUGAAUAGGAUAAGACUUAAGAGUAGGCCCUGUUUUAUUUUCUAUGUUAAAAUUUUAGUAGAGAGCUUUAGAUAUAAUUGCUUUUAGGGAAAUACAUUGCUGAAACGUGGCAGGAAAAUAAGGGGAGUACUUAUGAUGUUAGUAGUCAUAAGAAAUGGUAGUAACAAAAUUAAUGUAAAAAGAUAUAAUGGUAAGUUAAUAUAAAAUCGAAGCUAUUAGUUAAGUUUUAGGAAGCAGACCUGGGCAAUGGUAGGCUGAAUGCUAAGUAAUUCAGCUAUAGUUGCAGGUUGUUUUGGCCUUUGUUGAGAAGGCGCUUGUUAGUGAUGUUCUUGUGGAAGAAUUUCCAGUUCAACGGGAUCAUCUUCGAAACUAAUUUGAACAUGGCAAGGUAAACAAAUAAAUAACCAUGUAUAUGAGGUAAAGUAAUCUAUAAAUUAUUUGUUCAAAGAUAUACCAUUGUUUUGAACUCAAAUACUUGAGGAAUAUCGAGGUCCAAGUAAAUUUUGGUGGCUGAGUUCGAAGCAAGGUAUAUGUUACCUAUGUUUGUUGAAUAAUUUGUUAGCGCAUAAAAGGAAGAAGAGGUUAAAUUUCUUUUUUGAAGAGUAGAUUUGGUUAAUUAGACGUACCCAUGUAUUUUCAUUGCAUGUGCGAUGUCACUGGUCCUGUUUACUCAUACUAAGCAAUACUAAACAAGUAAAGAAUAUUAAAGAGAAGUUUUAUGUGAAAACCAUCUGUUUUGAACGUACAAUUGAGUUUGCAUUUAUACAAGAUAUCAAUGGCUGCUAAGCUAGCUGCUAACAAAAUAACUUCUUUAUUGCUCUUUAACUGACUAAUUACUUCAACUAAUUACUUAAUUGCUACUAUACUAUCAUUCUCCCGGUUUCUUAUCUUGUGUUGGUUGUUUGAUGGGCGGUUGCUCAGAGGAAGAACUCAUAAGGCAUCUUGGAAGAAAGAAAAUUGCUUUGGAGUGAUAGGUUUGGUGAGUACAUAUGCAAUUUGACUUGCUGAGGGAACAAAAUUGACCUGUAAAACACCAUCACGAACUUUCUCUCGUACACAAUGAUGAUCAAUCUCCACGUGUUUAACCUUAGCAUGAUGAGUCGGGUUGGUUGUCAUUGAUAUUGUGGAGGUGUUGACACACCACACUAUUGGAGUAUGUUGUAGAUGAACACCACCUUUAGUCAAUGGUUGUUUCACCCACAAUAAUUUAGAAACAUGAUUUGCAAGACUGUGAUAUUUUGCUUCUAAUGAAGAUCUAGAAACAACUUACUUUUUGGAACACUAUGCAAUUGGAUUAGGGUCAUGAUCCAAAGUUCCAUUGAGGUAUCGUAACACACGUUUCACUGCUUGCCAAUGAGUUUCAUGCGGAGCAUUCAUGUACUAACUCAAUUUGUUAACACAAAAGGCUAUGUAUGGUCAUGUAUUGCAGACAUACUGCAAGGUUCCAAUGAUGUUGCGAUACAAAUGACUAUUAGGAAACGAACUGCCAUCUAUUGUAGUUAAUUUAGGCGUUCCUACCAUCGGUGUUGAUGUGGGUGAUGCUUCAUCCAUACCUGCCUUAUAAAGUAACUUCAGAAUAUAUAAUUUUUUUAGUGAGAUAUAUCCCAUGUUGCAGAUGAUGAACUUCAAUACCAAGGAAAAAGUGAAGAUUUCUCAUGUUUUUGAGAGAAAAUUUGCUAUGUAGCUGAUGAACAACUUUAUCAAUUUCUCUGGAGGAGCUUUCUGAAAUGAUAGUAUAAUCCACAUAGAAAUAAUGAAGAUUCACCGUUUGAUCGAAUAAGCAUUGAAGAGUCAGCUUUAAAUGUUUGAAAACCAAGCUAUCUAACCAAAUGCUCUCUCAACGUAUAAAACCAUGCUUGAGGUGUCCAUUUGAGGCAAUAUAAAGAUUUAACUUGUACACAACCUGAUUGCCAGUGAUAUUUGUAGUUUCAAACCCUAGUGGUUGAUUUAUAUAGAUUUCUUCAGUCAAUGUACCAUUAAGGAAGACAUUGUUGACAUCCAUUUGUUUAAUUGUCUAUCUAUUCAUAACAAUAAUAGAAAGAAGAACCCUAAUAGUUGUAGCCCAAACUACUGGACUAAAUAUAUCACAAAAGUUUAACCCAACAUGUUGAGAAAAACCUUUAGCAAUGAGCCUUGCUUUGUAUUUGUCUAUUGUCCUAUCAAAUUUCUUUUUUAUUUUGAAAAGCCAUUUGCAGCCAAUUGAUCUCCUAAAAGGGGGGAGAGCAUAGAGGGUCCAAGUAUUGUUUUUGAUGAGAGUUCCCAGCUCAUUUUGGGCAGUAUCCGCCAAUGAGGGUGAAUCAUUGCCUCAUAGACAUUAAUAGGUGCAGUGUCAGGCAACUGAGUUACCUUGGAAUGAUAUAUUUUGGGUUUGAAUGUACCUACUUUGUUACGAGUUACCAUAAGGUGAGUAUUGACUAUAUUGUAGGAGAAUUGACUGGGCGUAAAAGUGUCAAUUGGACAAGGUUGACUUGACUCAAAAGAAAGAAUAGUCUCAAUAGGGUUGGAAGUAGGUAAUGGUGAGGUAGACAUUGAACUAGGCGACUCACUUGAUAGGGGUUGUUAUUGACCUGGAUUUGGAGACUAUCGAUAAGUUGGAUGUGGUUGUGAAGGAUGUGGAAAAAUUACUAACUUUAAGCUUGUUGUAGGACAUAGUGAGUUGCUAGUGGAUGAUUUUGGAUAGGUUGAGCUAGUUCAGAAUAAAAACUCAUUUUCAUGAAAAGUGACAUGUAUUGAUAUAUAAAUUCGGCCUGAAGAAUCUCUACGCUUAUAGCCUUUAUGUUGAGAGGAAUAUCCUAAAAAAAUUAAGGAAGGGGUCUGAAUUGUAAUUUGUUGGUGUUGUAUAGGAAAGUAUAAGUAGCCAAAGACUUUAAGAAACAAGUAGUUGGGUUUACUUUGAAAUAGUCUUUCAUAAGGAAAGACAUUACCUAUAGGCUAAAAAGUUAAUCGAUUUACCAAGAACAUUGCACCGUUGAAUGUUUCAUGCCAAUAGUAUAAGGGCAAUGAUGCAUGGGCAAGCAUGGAGAGGCUUGUUGCUACAAUCUUAUUUUGUUUAGACAUUGGGGACAUGUGACUCUAUGAAUAAUCCUUUUUUGAGUUAGAAACCACCUUAAUGCUUGAAAAUCUCUUCCUCCAUCAAUUUGAAUAGCCUUGAGUUUAUUACCAAUGCAUCUCUCAGCUUGUUAAAGGAACUAAAAAAACACAAUUUCCAUAUUUGACUUUUUCUUUAAAAAAUAAAUCCAAGUGUAUUGUGUAUAAGCAUCUGUGAAGGCUACAUAGUAAGCAAAAUCGUUCAAGUGAACUGUAGCAGGUCCCAAACAUUAGCAGCCACCAUUUAAAGUGGAGAAAUAUAUGUAAAGGCAAUAGUAAAGAAUGGAUGUUUAUGUUCUUUUGCCAAAUGACAAGACACACAAGUAAUAGUUUUAUUAUCAGAGAAUGAUACAUUAUAGUGACCCAAGGCUUUCUUUAGUGUAGCCAAACAAGGAUGGACUAAUCUAUAGUGUUAUACAUUCAAAGAUAUAGUUCUAUCAACAGUAAAACAUUGAGUUGAUUUAUUAGUUAUCAAAUGCUUUGAGGUAGUACAUAGAUUCAACUUGUAAAGGCUAUUUUGAACCGACCCUUGCAACAACACUUCUCUUAUUUUUAAGUCACGAACUUGACACCUGUUGGGAAAGAACUCUAAAUAGAACAUGAUUGUCCUUUUUAAAAUUGGACACAGACAUCAUGUUUUUAGUGAUGUUAGGUACAAAUAAGAGAGAUCAUAUGUAUAGUGAGUGAGACCAAGUGAGUAAGGAUGAUUGACUAGUGCAAAUAAUGGGUAAGGCAACACCAUUACCCACAUAGACCAUACUUAAGCCACUAUACGGAGUGCUUUCACUCAUUGAUGCAGUAGAAUAAGUAAGAUGAUGAGUAGCACCAAAAUUUGGAUAUUAGGCAUUGUCUCUUACAAUGUUCAAAGUUGCUAUAUAAGAUUGAAAGUUGAAGGGUGCCAUACGAACAUUUAUAGGUUGUGGUGACAGGUGAAAAUGGAAGGUGCCCAAUUCGAAGAUAUUGGAGGAGGGAAAACCCAACUUCCUUGAGAGUUCAAUACAAAAGAAAAUAGAGACAUAGGUGAGCUGGACUGAGGCAACCAAGGAGAAAUGGGAACCCUAUUGCCAAACAUACACAUGUUGGCUUGUGGAGGAGGUCGAUAUGUUUUGACUUUUAUAGUUUGUAUCAAAUCGGUGAUAAUAAUGAUCUAUAAGAUAAUCGGUCUUCCCACAUAGUUGACAUUGAAUACGCGAGCUAAAUGAGUGGCCACAUCCACGACCUUAUGCAAGUGUUGAGGGGAGACGAUACGAAGGUUGUUGAGAACUGUCAGUGGAGUUAAUUGGACGAUUUGUAACUAUAUUAGCUGAACUGGACACAUCAACCAGUGUCGCUUGUAAUCUUGCUUCAGCAUCGAGAAGCAUGGUUGUUAUUGCCUGAACACCAUACGAGACUUGGUUUGUUGUGAUGACUGUUACAACUGUCUCAUAUUUAGAAGAAAACUCAUUUAGAAUACAAGAGACAUGUUCUUGUUCACCGAUUAUUUCACCAUAGCUAACAAGAUUAUCACAACAAUUCUUUAUUUUCAUUGAGAAUGAAGCGCACGUCUAUAAAACAUUAACCUAGAUGUGGUUUUGUUGCUAUACAUGUUAGCAAGAGUAUUCUAAAUUUGAAAACUUAAAUCCAUACCUAUAAGAUAAGGAAGAACACUUUGACUAACAGAAGAAAGAAGCCAAGAAGCAAGUGUAUUGUCUUACUGUUCAUAUCGAACAAAUUUUGGAUUUUCAUGAGAAAUACCAUUAUCAUCAGUAACUAGCAUAGGAGGAGGAACUAUACGACUAUCAAGAAACUGUUUUCUUGUGAGUCUUAAUGGCAAGAAGCACUUGUGUUCGCCAUAACAAAUAAUUAGAAUCAUCAAUAAUUAUAGUAAUCUUCUUGGUUGAGAAGAAAUUACUGUAAAAAACGCAUUCAAAAAAAUUGGAAGUCAUUGUUUGGAUUGCAGGAAAAGUCACAGUAAAGCUGGUAAACGCCAUGAACAGGACUUCACAGGAUCAAUCUGCAAAAAUAAAAAUGUUUGAUACCAUGUUUAACUAUACUAAGCAAGACUAAACAAGUAAAGAAUAUUAAAGAGAAGUUUUAUAUGAAAGCAUCUAUUUAGAACAUACACUUGAGUUUGUAUUAGUGGCUGCUAACAAACUAACUUAUUUACUGCUCUUUAACUGACUAACUGCUUCAACUAAUUACUCAACUGCUACUAUACUAAUAGGUCCAAGGUUGAUAGUCAUUGAUAUAUUAGGUAGGAUGAUAAGUAGAAUGUUUGUCGAUUGUUUUAAUGAAAUGUUAAUUUUGAUUUUGUUUCCAUGAUACCUUUCUUCUUGAAUGAAGAUGUUGCGUUUCUUUACGUAUUUGGCUCUACUACUUAGUCUGAUUUUAGUGAUAGGAUGAAAUUAUCCCAAUUACAUCUACAUAAAAUAAUAGAUAUAUUGUUAUAGUGAAAAGAAUAGACAAAGGUUUUGAAGCAUACCUGUUAAGUACUUGUCAUGUUUAAUCUGUUGGUACAAAAGGUUAUGAGGUAUGAAAUGGAAGUAAUCCUCGAGGAUACGGAGUUGGAUCUUCAUAAAGUUAAUGAAUUUGGAUUGCUCUAGUUAGGCAUAUAAUAUAAUCUCUAGGCAUAACAUUGUAGUUGAACUUGUGUAUGUCAAAAUUAAAAUAUAUAGAUUAAAUCUCAAAUUUAAACAAAACAUAGAGACCAAAUUGAAAUUUAAACAUUCUUAUAAUCUAAAAAGUGAAGGGGUUGAAAUUGAAAUUUAUCCAUAAUAUUCUUGUGUAAAAAAAGAUAGACAUGCACAUUGAAGCCUAAAGGCUUUAGGGGAAACAUUAGUAAUUACCUGUGUUUGGCCUGCAUACACAUAGUGAAGAAGCAAAAUGAAGAGUUGGAUAUGCUAACUUGUUGUAGCUGAAUGACAUCUUCAUAUGAUGAGCUCAGAGUAAAGUUCCUUGAUGCUUGCAAUAAAACUUUAUGAGUAGGACAGGCUUUUCCUCACCAACAAUGAAUAGCAUAUUAGAUAAUUCCCAACUCUCAAGAAAAUUCUCAAGCCCUUCAUUUGUCAUAGCUUGCUUGCCCAUUUUCCAAUUCCACAUCACCGUUGCCAUUGUAUUCAUCGUUAACUUGCUUCCACAGCGACAAAUGAUUUUGAGUCAAGGACAUGUUAACAUUCUUAUAGCUAACAUGUUUAUCUCAACUACUAGAGCCAACAUAUUGAACAUUGCAAUUUGGAUUUGUAUUUAGCCACUCAAACACUAUUCUAAAAUAGGUAUCUUUGUUUACCAAUGCUAAUCAACCCAUCAUAGGUAUUGAUCUAAUAGCCCUGAAAUGCAAAAGAACUACAUAAACCAAUACCUUCAACAUCAACCACAGUUUUCCCAUUUGCCUCAAUUUUCAACCUAUUGUUCUUAUGGCUACCAAUGAUUAUAGUAUAAUGACGACUGUUAUUGAUAGCAAGUUAAUUUUGUACGUUUAAUUUACUUAUUUUUUUGUCAAAUCUUGAAUAGAAUGCUAUUAAGCUGGUAAUUGCUUAUUUAAAAUUUAUCAAGACGUAAUUAGAAUGUUGAAGUUAAAAAAAUCAAGCAAAUUGAGCUAAAUUGAAACAAAAAGAAAGGAAAUAGGCCAAAUUGAAAAGUUGCAGAAUUGUAGACUAAUGAACAAAAAUUAGAUUUUGAUGUUAAAUCUUAUAAUUAGAAAAAUAUUUGAUUUUUUGUUGGAUGCUAAACAUAAAUAUAAGAGGAAGUCAUGCUAAAAUUAGCUUUUGAGAGGUGUAUAAAAUCCUUGUAAUUUUAGUUUGCAAACACACAAACUUGAGACCUAAAUUCAAAACAAAAUUUUUCUUUUCUUACGUCAAUAGCUUGUCAAAGCAUUUUGUCAAUUCCUUUCUUUUUCUUAUUUUUGUACAAUUCCUCUUUAAGUCCCCUCCCUUUCUCACCUAUCAACAUUACAUUACAAUUCAUUUUUAUAAUCUUACAAAGCAUGAUUAAUAUCAUACUUAAUUAAUCUUCAUUUAGUUUUAGUCUAGUCAUCAUUUCGAUCAAGAAUUGUGACAAAUGAAUCUACAUUUAAAUUUUACAACAUGGUAUUCAUUAUUUUUUUAGAAUAUAGGAUAGUUAUAUUCUUUCUUCAAAAUCAAUCCAAUUUCAGUUCAAAGUGUACGUUGGGAGGAAGUUUUUUUGGCGUAUAAUUGGGAAAGAGAGUAGGUCAUCUACCGUGUUCGAGUUUUCGCGAACAAAUUGACAUGUCUAAUUAGAAAAAGCUAUUUAAUUUGAGAUAGUUAUCGAAUUUAAACGACCCACGCGGUUCAGGCCGUUAAUUUGAGUUGGGCUCUUCUAGAUCAUAAAAUUAUCGAGAUCAUAAGUGGCGAAGGUGUGUUACGUGGUUAGAUAACAGGUAAGGGUUGGUUUGCAGGUCGUAUCGGAACCAACUACAUAAGGAAGAGUUGGUGGUUGAGAUAUCUUUGAUUGUUAUAACUGGUUUAUCGUUUGAAAGUAAAAUCCACUUUAGAGAAUCAAUUCUAGUUCGUAGUGUAUCGAGGCUAAGGUUAAGUAUUCACAUAUUUGAUUUAUAAAUUUAAUUUAAAUUACUUAAUUUUAUUUUGCAAUUAUCAUUCUGCUAUUAUUACGUUCUAUUCAUUUUUAUUUUCCUCUAUCUACUAAAAUCUAUUUUUAUUUUUUUUUAACUUUGCACAUACAAGUCUUGGGCACGACAAUUGCCUAGGCUGAAGAAUCUGGUCACAUAACACGAAAAUUAGGAGUCUUAGUCCCUGUGUGAUUGACCUUACUUCUCUAUACUACUAUUUGAUUUAGUUGGAGCUUAGGAAAUUUAUAUUUGAUGGUUUCGACGCCUAUCAAAUUUUGGCAUCGUUUACAGGGCUUAGAAAUAAUUUUAAUUUUUUAUUUUUUUUACUUAUGACCAUAUUAGAAUUGGGGACUGUAGAGUUUAAAUAAAAAAUUAAGAAAUUAGCUCGAUCAUUGUGAAAAGAAGUUAUUAGAUGUGAAAAACAAUUAAAAGAAUUUGAAUACGAAACACUAUCUUACAUAAAAAAAAUUGACAAUGAACCAGAAGAAAUGAUGAACCAAACUAUUCGAUAGCUCGUUGCGGCAUCGAAUGAGCAACAACUGCUGUGCAUAACUUAUCCGACAGGAGGAACAACAUUUGAAUUAAAAUUUGGCUUAUUUAUUUAUUUUUCGCUUUCUGUGAUUUGCAAAAUGAGAACCCUCACUCGUCUUAAGGAGUUCCACAUGAUUUGCCUAAGCAUGAAACCUUAAAGAGUAAUCGAAGAUCAAAUUAAACUUUAGGUUUUUUUCCUUUCUCGCUAGUCGACUCUACUAGAGAACGGUUGUUUUAUUUACCUUCAGAAUUAGUUAAUAGAUUAUUUAACAUUUAUUAGUUGUUUCUUGACAGGUUCUUUCCAACAGCUCAGGUAGCUGAAUUAAGGAGAGAUAUUAUCGGAAUAUGACAAUAGACAACCGAAUCACUCUAUGACUACUAAGAGCGAUACAAGAAAUUGUGUGCAAGUUUCCUACAACAUUGCCUAAUUGAACAAUCACUUCUUCAAUAUUUCUAUGAGGAAUUACUCCUUAUGGAAAUGAAGAUCAUUGAUGCUACCAGUGGAGGAGCACUUGUUAACAUGACUCCUUAAGGAGCAAUGAAAUUAAUUUCAACCAUUAAUGCAAAUUCCCAAUAAUUUCGACCAACUACAAAACCUAAAGAUUGGUUUAUAAGCUAAGUACUUUAUCCUUAGAAGAUAAAAUUAACAAGUUCACUAAUGUAGUUAAAAAUUUACUUGAAAGAAAAAUGAACCCAGCUCGAUUUUGCGAUAUUUGUGCCAUACAUGAUCAUCCAAUAGACUCGUGUCUGAUUUUAUAAAAAGAUACAACAGCACGUGUAGAUGCCUUUGAAAACUUCUUAGGGCCACCCGAAAUGCGUUAUAAUCCAUUUUCAAAUACUUACAAUGCGGGGUGGAGAGAUUACCUAAAUUUGAGUUAUGGAUCGAAUCCUCAGUACAACCAAUCGUAUCAACUAAGGCCUUUCCGACUUAACAAAUUUAACCCCCAAAGAUAUCUCUUGAGACUAUAGUAGAGACAUUAGCUGCUAGUAUCGAAAAGUUCCAACAAAAGAUUGAAGCACACCUAUAAAAAAUAAAUCAGCAAAUAAGUAAGCUUGCGCUUACGAUUAGUCGUUUGGAGCCCUAGGAAAAGUUGUCUUAAACAAAGCCAAAUCCACGACAAAAUUUAAGUGUUAUAACCUUAAAAAGUAAAACAAUUUUGGGGCCAACACCUGGCACAAAUUGUGACCACAAAACUAGACAGAAAUAACAUAAACAUGAUCCAACAAUUACUACGAAGCUAGCUCUACAGAAACCAUUUGCAGUACCACCCAUAUUUCUUGGAAUGUUGGCCCGAUAUAAAAAGGAGUGAAAAGAAAAAAGAAAUAAUAGAGACAUUUUAGAGAGUUCAAAUUAUCAUAGCCCUGCUCGAUGCAAUAAAUAAAGUUCCAUGCUAUGUAAAAUUCUUAAAAGAAUUAUGCAUUAGAAAGAAGAAGCUCAUGAGUAACAAAAUAGUAGGUGUUGGAGAAAACGUCUCUGCAGUUUUACAAAAGAAAAUUUUACCUAAGUGUAAGGAUCAAUGUAUAUAUGUUAUAUCUUGCAAAAUAGGUAAUGUUGGCAUUAAUGAGGCUAUGUUUGAUUUAGGUGCAUGUGUUAACAUUAUGCCUUUAUCUAUUUUUAAAUUACUAAACAUUGGUCCUUGGAAAGAAACAAGGGUGAUAAUCCGAUUAGCGUAAAUGUUAGUUGUGUAUCUAGAAGGGGUGUUGGAAAAUGUCUUCGUCAAAGUGAAUGAACUAAUCUUUUCUACAAAUUUUUACAUUAUUGACAUGGAGGAUGACAACUCGACAAAUUUUUCUGAUGUUCUACUCAGGAGACCAUUUUUAAGCAUCGUAUAAACAAAAAAUUGAUGUUCAGAGUAAAACAACUUACCAUGAAAAUUGACAGUUAAAUAGUUAAGUUCAAUGUUUAUGAGAACAUGGGUCGUCCUAGUGCAAUUACAAACGUCUCUAAUGUUAAUAUAAUUGAACUGUUGAUAAACUUUCAUUUUAAAUUUCACAAAGAGGAUGAAUUACAAAUUGUGUUGUGCAAGAAUGUAAAUCUCGAUUCUAUGGAAAAACAUUAAGAAUUAUUAAUGAUCAAAAGAACCAAUAAGUGAAGUUGUCAUUCGCAUGGAGGCCCCGGAAUUGGAGCUCAAAUCGUUAUUGGAAUAUUUAAGAAUUCCGAUACAAGAAAAGGCAAACCCGAACUGAGAAGCUCAAAGUUGCCUCAAUCCAUCGAUAAUGAAAGAAUCCAAAAAGUGCUUCAAAGUCAAUUGGUAAAGUUUGAAACAUUUCUACAAGAACUUCCAAAUGCACGUAAUGGAAGAAUUAAUUCUUAAAGAUUCAAAUGGAUAACAUUUUCAAGUCGUCGAGCUAACGACGUUAAACAAAAAUGCUUUUUGCAAGGCAACCAAUAUUUAUUUACUUUAUUUUAAUUCAGUUUAAUUUAUGUUGAAAAUAAAUAAAAAUUAUUAUUUAAUCUAUUUUAAUGUGUUGUUUUCUAGGAGACACAAUAGAGGCUCAAAUCUCAAAUAUCCUCGUUAUAUUGUGAGGUGAUCAUAUCCACC